rnacentral:rRNA from 1 species
UACGUAGGGUGCAAGCGUUGUCCGGAAUUAUUGGGCGUAAAGGGCUCGUAGGCGGUCCGUCACGUCGGGAGUGAAAUCCUGGGGCUUAACCCCAGAACUGCUUCCGAUACGGGCAGACUAGAGGUAGGUAGGGGAGAAUGGAAUUCCUGGUGUAGCGGUGGAAUGCGCAGAUAUCAGGAGGAACACCAGUGGCGAAGGCGGUUCCCUGGGCCUUACCUGACGCUGAGGAGCGAAAGCGUGGGGAGCAAACAGG